rnacentral:rRNA from 1 species
GAUGAACGCUGGCGGCGUGCCUAAUACAUGCAAGUCGAGCGAAUGGAUUAAGAGCUUGCUCUUAUGAAGUUAGCGGCGGACGGGUGAGUAACACGUGGGUAACCUGCCCAUAAGACUGGGAUAACUCCGGGAAACCGGGGCUAAUACCGGAUAACAUUUUGAACCGCAUGGUUCGAAAUUGAAAGGCGGCUUCGGCUUGCACUUAUGGAUGGACCCGCGUCGCAUUAGCUAGUUGGUGAGGUAACGGCUCACCAAGGCAACGAUGCGUAGCCGACCUGAGAGGGUGAUCGGCCACACUGGGACUGAGACACGGCCCAGACUCCUACGGGAGGCAGCAGUAGGGAAUCUUCCACAAUGGACGAAAGUCUGACGGAGCAACGCCGCGUGAGUGAUGAAGGCUUUCGGGUCGUAAAACUCUGUUGUUAGGGAAGAACAAGUGCUAGUUGAAUAAGCUGGCACCUUGACGGUACCUAACCAGAAAGCCACGGUUAACUACGUGCCAGCAGCCGCAGUAA